rnacentral:rRNA from 1 species
GAUGAACGCUGGCGGCGUGCCUAACACAUGCAAGUCGAACGGUAAGGCCCUUCGGGGUACACGAGUGGCGAACGGGUGAGUAACACGUGGGUGAUCUGCCCUGCACUUCGGGAUAAGCCUGGGAAACUGGGUCUAAUACCGGAUAGGACCACUGCCUGCAUGGGUGGUGGUGGAAAGCUUUUGCGGUGUGGGAUGGGCCCGCGGCCUAUCAGCUUGUUGGUGGGGUGAUGGCCUACCAAGGCGACGACGGGUAGCCGGCCUGAGAGGGUGACCGGCCACACUGGGACUGAGAUACGGCCCAGAGUCCUACGGGAGGCAGCAGUGGGGAAUAUUGCACAAUGGGCGCAAGCCUGAUGCAGCGACGCCGCGUGAGGGAUGACGGCCUUCGGGUUGUAAACCUCUUUCAGCACCGACGAAGCGCAAGUGACGGUAGGUGCAGAAGAAGGACCGGCCAACUACGUGCCAGCCGCCGCCGUAAAAC